rnacentral:rRNA from 1 species
UACAGAGGGUGCAAGCGUUGUUCGGAAUUAUUGGGCGUAAAGGGUGCGUAGGCGGUGCGGUAAGUCUGUAGUGAAAAUCUCUGGGCUCAACUCAGAGUCUGCUAUAGAAACUGCCGUGCUCGAGUGUGGGAGAGGUGAGUGGAAUUCCCCGGUGUAGCGGUGAAAUGCGUAGAUAUCGGGAGGAACACCUGUGGCGAAAGCGGCUCACUGGACCACAACUGACGCUGAUGCACGAAAGCUAGGGGAGCAAACAGG